CAGAGUCUGCCAUCAACAGAAGAGACAGGAACACAGGUUGAAGCAACUGAUGGGGCCUGAAUUAGGACUCUUUCAACGCUGUCAUGUCAUUUAUUGGCACCACCUUCAACACAACUACUCAAGCCCAGUUGCUGAGCAUCAUCUGGAAUCCUUUCACCUUCCCAUGCACAAUCCUUGAGAUCCGGAGAUGCUACCUCCAAAAGGCAACCAAAAAAUCUAACGACGACUCACUAUCUUCCCAUCUACUGUCCAGUUGUGUAUAUAUGCGUCUAUGGACCAGGUAGUGUGUCAAAGGUAUUUCUUAGCUGUAGGGUUGCAGCAAAAAAGUUUGGAAGCUAUUCAUUGCCCAUUAGGCAAUUAAAGAGUAAAGAUGUGGCCCCUGCCUACAUCUUUAAUCUCAUCUUCUGUCAUCUCCCCCUCUUUGCUCCUUUAGUCCCUGGAAAGUGGUAAGCUCUUUCCUGCCUUGGGGCCUUAGUAUUUGCUGUUAACUCUACCUGGAACAUUCUCCUUAUCUUUCCCAUGGCUGAUUCACUGCCAUCCUUCAAGUCUCAGUUUAAUGUCAUAUCCUCAGAGAGGCCCCCCAUCCAUAUUAUGUAAACCAUGUCUUCUUCCCAUCACUACACGCUAUGGUCUGAAAGUUUGCAUCUCCCCAAAAUUCAUAUAUUGAAACCUAAUCCCCAAUGCAAUAGGAUUAAGAGGCGGGACCUUUAGGAAAUAAUUAGGUCUUGAGGGUAAAGCCCUCAUGAAUGGGAUUAGUGCUUUUAUAUAAUAAAAGAGGCCUGAAGAAGCUUAUUAGCCCCUUCUGCCAUGUGAAGACUCAUAGAAAGUGCCAUCUAUGAGGAAGCAGGCCCUCACCAGACAUCAAUGCUGCUGCCUUGAUCUUGGGCUUCCCAGCCUCCAGAACUGUGAACAAUGAAUUUCUGUUGUUUAUAAGUUACCUAUCUAAGGUAUUUUGUUAUAACAGUCCAAAUGGACUAAGCCCUAAAGGACUUUUUCUAAUGAAUAGCUACAGGUUGAUUUACGAUCAGUUUUUUUAUGAGACUGUAAGCCUUCUGAGGUCAGUAAUGGUGUGUGUAUGUGACUGUACCCUGCAUCUGCAUCCUACUUUUACCUAACAAAAAGAGCCUCACAGAAAGCUUUGGCAAUUAAUGACAGCCUGUAGAGUUCUGUAUUCAUAGAAGCAGUAGGGGUACAUGCUGCAGUGGGUAGAAUUGUGUUCCCCAAAAAGAGAUGCUCAAGCCCUAACCCUGGUAUCUACGAAUGUGAUCUUAUUUGGAAAUAGGGUCUUUGCAGAUAUAAUUAGUUAAGAUCAGGUCAUACUAGAGUAGGAUGGGCCCUUAAUCCAAUAUGACUGGUGUCAUUAUAAGAAGAGGAAGAGAUACACAAGGGCACACACCAGGAGAAUGUCAUGUGACAAUGGAAGCAGAGAUUGGAGAGCUGUGUCUAUAAGCCAAGUAACAUCAAGGAUUGCUGGCAACACCAAAAGCUAAGAGAAAGGCGUGGAACGGACUCCCACCUUGAGCCUUCAGAGACAGCGUGGACCUACUGACACCUUGACUUCAGACUUCUAGCCAGAACUUUGAGAGAAUAAAUUUCUGUUUUUUAAGA
rnacentral:lncRNA from 1 species